UUUUAACGAGAGUUUGAUCCUGGCUCAGGAUGAACGCUGGCGGCGUGCUUAACACAUGCAAGUCGAGCGCGGUCCCUUUGGUGCUUGCACCAGAGAAGACUGAGCGGCGGACGGGUGAGUAACGCGUGGGUAACCUGCCCUAUACACAUGGAUAACAUGCUGAAAAGCAUACUAAUACAUGAUAACGUACACUGAUGGCAUC
rnacentral:rRNA from 1 species